rnacentral:lncRNA from 1 species
GAAAAUCUAGAAGAAACCAUUGAUAAAACCUGUUAGGGGUUUCUGAGCACAUCUCUAACCUCUGCGAUAUAUGAGCACAACAAAAUAUGGAUCUUAUAUAGACGAAAACAGACGAAAACGAUCGAGAAGACAAGUACGAUGACGAACAAAGCAGUAAAGAACAGAGGAUAUAAGAAAUUUAUGUAGUUCGGCCAAUAGUGUGUCGACUUACAUCC